rnacentral:lncRNA from 1 species
GCUGGUCAUGAGUGCUGGCAGGGGUCAUCAAUUACACAAUCUUUUUUGUGUGCUGUUUGUCAUCCUUACACAACUGAGUUUGCCUGACAAGUGUAACAAGGAGCAUCCUUUUGUGGAAAAUCAAAUAUACACAACAUUCCCAAUCAAACCCAGGGCCUCUUACUCAAGAGUCACUGUUGAGAUCAAUCUACAUUAACACACACCUGGCCACCAACACUGGCAAGAGGCAAUGAGCGCCCAGACAACGCCCAGGCCCUACACAGGGCUGAGGCUGGAUCUUCCCCGAAGUCCCCCAUGAGAUAUCUGCUCGUACACCCGCAAAUUCGCGCCCAGGCCCAGUCACGUCCUACCACGAAUGCCCUACCGCAAGUGUCGAGAACCUGCGGCCUCGGGAGGCUGGGCCCCUAACUCCGACUCAGAAUCAAGGGCUCCACAGCCUCCCAGACCCAGACCAUCUUGGACUACACAAGACAACCGGUGAUUUCGGCAGAAACCAGACGCAGACCGCCCGCCCGGCCGGCCGGCCUCGCGCGCUCCACCGCGAUCCCUCAGCCCGGGGCCGGAAAGGGCCCCGCGGGCCGCGACGCCAUUUUCUCGGCGCCAUCGGCGCCGCUCGCUGGAACUAGGCUGCCGGCAUGGCGCCGCUCCACCUUGUCCGGAGUCCAAGUGCCGUUCGGGUCCACACGGCUUCCGCCCUCCUUCACAGUACAGAGUCACUUACCCCGGCCGCCGGGAUCCCGCAGCCAUUUCCAGAGCUACCACGGAUAUAGAGCAGAGACCAGCGAGACUACCGUCCUAGAGUGGUAGGCCGCGCGGCAAGCGGAAGAAAUCGACCGGCCACCGAGCUACGGCGAGGCUAGAGCGGCUGUGCCGCCCUUCUUGCACGCAUGCGCCACCCGGGUUCCCCGGAGCGCCAGCCUGGUUGGCCGGGCACGCUUGACAGAUUCCCGCGUCCCGAACUAAGGGGCUAAGCUGGGAGCCAAUGCCACUAAAAGGUUCCUCCAGCUAUCCUUGAACAGCACCCGGCCCAGCAUUCCAAAAGCUUAAACUCUGUGUCUGCAGGGACUGGUGCUUCGGAACAAACCAGCACCGGAUUCCGGUGGGAAGGAGCCAGGAAAACCUCAAAGCCCUGCAGCUCUCGCCUAUGGCAGGGCGUGUGCAGAGCGGGGAGGGGCGCCAGCCCUACAGGGACUCACUCCCUCAUACUAUCCUUUACUCCUUGCCCCGUCCAUUUCUUCCUAAAAAUGGACCAGGAGCCAAAGUCCAGGCAUUCGUGCCUACAAGGGCCCCACCCCCAGUCCCCUCACGAAGGCAUUUAAGAAUUUCCCCCCCUAGCGCUAACUACAGUGAUAUUCCUUCACUGUCCCCCAUAUUACUUAAGGAAACCAGAAAGAGGUCGCAACGUGAACACUAGCCACAUUGCUCUGAGGGCAGUUAAUGCCGGGAUAGACGCUCAGCUUUGCCCCAUACAACCAGCUUCUUAUUUAUGUAAGCACACAGACACAACGCUAGGAAGCCAUUCUUCUGGACUCUAACUUCGGCUUCCUGUAACAAACAUGUGCUCCGGUCUAGUAAGGCCUCUCUCACAUUGUAGAGGCCUCCAAUGCUCCAUUCAGAAGCCCAGGUCUUGAGUAGUUUUCUUUCUAACAUUUCCCAAGAUUACAUGACAGCUCAUGGGGCUUCCUUCAGUACAGUAGAAGGCUGCUUCUGCUUCCCUUGGUGAGAUCCUUCAAUACCACCUUUCAGAUUCUAGUCAAGGAGGAGCCUACCCUGAUUACUCAACUCUGCCCUUGAAAUAAGUUCCCAGCAUCCACAAGCGGCCAAACAACUCCAGUUCUGGGGAUCCAGUGCCCUCCUCAGGCAUCAGGCACCCACUGCAUGUACACAUACAUAAAAGCAGACCAUUCAUACACAUUAAAUAAACAUUUUUAAAUAUAAAAAACUAAAACCCAACAUUUAACUUACAGUUCAUUUUAUUAUGUGCAGUGCUGGAGAUGGAACCCAGAGCCACCCUAGGGCCAUGCUAGGCAUGGAGUAAUCUGUAACAGCUAACUUUAGAUAAAAUGCGUUUACUUGCACAGCACUGAAGAAUCCGAUAACAAAUCACCAGCUGCUUUGCACGGAGGGCAAUAGAGUAAAGCACCAGUCUUCGAUUUCACUUUAAAAACAGCAGGGUCCAAUUUGCAGCAGAUCUUUAUCUGGCAGUGCUACAUCCAUACACAGCUGAGACCCAACACCAACCAUCACAAUACCGAGAGCACAAGGUACUGGCAGCACAGAAAAAAGCCCAAAAAACCCCCAGCAAUUUACAGACUUUGUAACCAGGUGUAGUGACCUCUGUAUUACAAGCACUGAGGAUGCUGAGGCAGGAAGAUUUUGAGUUCCAGGACAGCUUUGGCUACAGAGUGAAAUACUUAGAACAAAACAAAACAAAACAAAAACAAAUAAAAACCAAUCAAGACAGCCAGGGAAACACUGUGAGAAGUCUCAAAGGAAAAAUAAAAAAUAAAGAGUG